rnacentral:lncRNA from 1 species
UUGCAGAGGCAGAGGCAGAGGCAGAGGCAGAGGCAGAGGCAGAGGCAGAGGCAGAGGCAGAGGCAGAGGCAGAGGCAGAGGCAGAGGCAGAGGCAGAGGCAGGAGGAUCAGAAAUUCAAGGUCAUCUUCAGCUACACAGCAAACUAAGAGGCCAGACUGUCCUAUAGGAGACUAUCCCAAAACGAAACAAAACAGUAACCAAACAACAAACAAAAAAAUGAUCUCACAGAUUAAGCCCAUAAGGAAAAUAAUUUAAAAAUAUUUGUACAAUGUGUUUUAAGUUAGAUGUUAUUACAAGUGUUUUUUUGUCUUUGUUUUGCUUUGUUUUAAAGGCAAGCAUAGUUUGCAUGCCGGUAAUCCUAGCACUAGAAGUACUAGGUGAAGCUAAAUGCCAUUCUUGGCUGCACAGUAAGU